GCUGCAAGCAAUCAUAAGCAUGUGAUCCUCGAGAUUAGUUUAUAAAUAAACUUCACUUGUACUUGUCUUUGUGCAUGACCUGAUGCUUAGAUAAAAACCUACAUAAAGACAUUUAGAUAAGACAUUAAGAUAUUUUAUAUACCCGACAAGAUGCAGAAAUGCCAUCUAAAAAAGUUAACUACAGUUUGUCCCAUCAGGGACAGUGACAACGUAAAUAUACAAAUAAUAAUGUUAACCCGGGGGUUUGUGACCUACACACGGCUUUCAGAGUGCAUCUCAGUUACAGAGAACACUCAAAAAAAUGAACUUUCCCUAUUGUUAGUUUUACUAUACCCAUCCUUGUUCACAUUACAUAAAACAUAAAAGUAAUUAAAUUUACACAAGUUAACUAUGUUAUUUCUACAAAAAUUGAGUACUGUAGGCUUUACCUAAUAAGGGUUUGACUGGACAACUUAACAUUGAGGAGUAAAUCGCAAAACCCUCUUAAGUUUGGAUAUUUGCGGAUACCGUAGCUUACCUAUGGGUGGAGCACCGGAACAGAACAGAAGGCAGACGAACGUGCAAAGCACAUUGAGGAGGAGAAGAUGGUGGCUUUUUCAGAUUGCUGCUGAAUUCAGUUGAAUCACUUCUGUCCCACUAAUUCAAACAUGUCAAAACUGGAUAGUUACUCCAGCAAGCUGGCCAGCAUCUCCCGUAGAGAAGGAGGAAUUGCAUAGAGGGCAUAAUAUUUGGAAAGUGAUGGCUACCAUUGAUGAGAAUGAUGGAGAGCUUGCAUUCUCGGAGCAUUUUCUCUGUAUCUUAAUGAAGAUUAUGAAAACCUCAUGAAGAAGUAUACUGACACAGGCUUUGAAAACUCUGAGAGAGAGAGAGACAUGGCCAAUACUCUCAUUUAUAAUCUACAUCGUCAGACCUGAAGGUGCAGAAACCUGUGACCCACCAUCAGGUGUUGGACUGAUUGUUGAGGGAGUAAAAGUGCUUCAGAACCUUGGCGAUGUCACCAAGACUUGUGCUCUUCUUUUGGGAGUAAUAUACAGCUUGAGUUUUAGUUAUCCUUCAGACCUGAAAUACACCCGAGUUUUUUCCAGAAAGUGUUGCUGGGACUUGAAGAACUCAAGAGCAAACUUGGCUGAAUCAGUACAUCAUUCUGGACAAAUGAAAGAAAUAGAGGAAGAAGCUUUUUUGUGACAUUUAAAUUGUUUUAUGGUUUUAAAAUUAAUGUGAUGUUAUCUUUGUUGAUGGCACCAAAGUUUUAAAUGAAGUUCUGCAACUUUAAAUGGCUAAAUGGUUUGGUUAUUUACAAAGAUUAGAGGUCAGUUUUAAUCUUUUCUUUACUAAUGGCUCGAACGAUUUCAGAUAUCCAAAAUUGAACCCUGUAGCAGUUUGUGUCAUGCUGCCUGCCUUAAACUUUGCUUUUCGUUUUCCAAGUAAAAUGUAUUAUUUGCAGUUGCAUAUAGUAAAAUAACAUUUUGGUCAAUAAUAAACUUUUUUUUUUUCGUGUUUUUUUCUGUCUUUUUGAAACUAAAUGUUAUUUUGGUGGGGGUUGUCAUAAAGAGGCCAGUUGUAUAUUUUAACAAUCGCUUAAACAUUUUAAAAUAUCAGCAAUGUUGCAUUUCAUGACAGUAUUGAAAUAAAAUGUCCUUACACAUUU